AGCAGCCGCGGUAAUUCCAGCUCCAAUAGCGUAUAUUAAAGUUGUUGCAGUUAAAAAGCUCGUAGUUGAAUUUCGGAACCGAUGGAUCGGUCACGCCAUUCGGUGUGUACUGGUUUAAUUGGUUCUCACCUUCUAAGGAACCGUGAUGUCAUUAAUUUGGUGUCGCGGGGAAUUAGGACUGUUACCUUGAAAAGAUUAGAGUGUUUAAAGCAAGCUCACGCUUGAAUACAUUAGCAUGGAAUAAUGAAAUAGGACAUUGUAUUCUAUUUUGUUGGUUUCUAGGAUCGAUGUAAUGAUUAAUAGGGAUAGUUGGGGGCAUUAGUAUUCAAUUGUCAGAGGUGAAAUUCUUGGAUUUAUUGAAGACUAACUACUGCGAAAGCAUUUGCCAA
rnacentral:rRNA from 1 species